rnacentral:rRNA from 1 species
AGUCGAGCGAUGAGAUCACUUCGGUGAAGGAUUAGCGGCGAACGGGUGAGGAACACGUGAAGAAUCUGCCUUCAACUCUGGGAUAACUCCGGGAAACCGGGGCUAAUACCGGAUAUGAGCCUUGAUCGCAUGAUCGGGGCUGGAAAGUUUUUCGGUUGAAGAUGACUUCGCGGCCUAUCAGCUUGUUGGUGAGGUAAUGGCUCACCAAGGCGACGACGGGUAGCCGGCCUGAGAGGGCGACCGGCCACACUGGGACUGAGACACGGCCCAGACUCCUACGGGAGGCAGCAGUGGGGAAUAUUGGGCAAUGGAGGAAACUCUGACCCAGCGACGCCGCGUGCGGGAUGAAGGCCUUCGGGUUGUAAACCGCUUUCAGCAGGGAAUAAGCGCAAGUGAAGGUACCUGCAGAAGAAGCACCGGCUAACUAUGUGCCAGCAGCCGCGGUAAUACAUAGGGUGCAAGCGUUGUCCGGAAUUAUUGGGCGUAAAGAGCUCGUAGGUGGUUUGUUACGUCGGUUGUGAAAUUCAGGGGCUCAACCCCUGACUUGCAGCCGAUACGGGCAAGCUAGAGUUUGGUAGGGGAGACUGGAAUUCCUGGUGUAGCGGUGGAAUGCGCAGAUAUCAGGAGGAACACCGAUGGCGAAGGCAGGUCUCUGGGCCAAUACUGACACUGAGGAGCGAAAGCGUGGGGAGCGAACAGGAUUAGAUACCCUGGUAGUCCACGCCGUAAACGGUGGGCGCUAGUUGUGCGAACCUUCCACGGUUUGUGCGACGCAGCUAACGCAUUAAGCGCCCCGCCUGGGGAGUACGAUCGCAAGAUUAAAACUCAAAGGAAUUGACGGGGCCCCGCACAACCAGCGGAGCAUGCGGCUUAAUUCGACGC